UCCCAGACUCCUACGGGAGGCAGCAGUGGGGAAUCUUCCGCAAUGGGCGAAAGCCUGACGGAGCAACGCCGCGUGAUCGAAUGAAGGCCUUCGGGUUGUAAAGAUCUGUUGACAGGGACGAAUAAGCAAUGCGAAUAGUUUUGUGUAUGACGGUACCUGUUUAGAAAGCUCCGGCUAACUACGUGCCAGCAGCCGCGGUAAUACGUAGGGAGCAAGCGUUGUCCGGAAUUACUGGGCGUAAAGCGCUCGUAGGCGGUAUGUCAAGUCAAGGGUGAAAUCCCCGCGCUCAACGUGGGAACUGCCUUUGAAACUGGCAAACUGGAGUGUGUGAGAGGAUAGUGGAAUUCCAGGUGUAGGAGUGAAAUCCGUAGAUAUCUGGAGGAACAUCAGUGGCGAAGGCGGCUUACUGGACCAUAACUGACGUUGAGGCUCGAAAGCGUGGGGAGCGAACAGGAUUAGAUACCCCCGUA
rnacentral:rRNA from 1 species